UACAGAGGGUGCAAGCGUUGUUCGGAAUUAUUGGGCGUAAAGGGCGCGUAGGCGGUGCGGUAAGUCUGCAGUGAAAUCUCUGGGCUCAACUCAGAGUCUGCUGUGGAAACUGCCGUGCUUGAGUGUGGGAGAGGUGAGUGGAAUUCCAGGUGUAGCGGUGAAAAUGCGUAGAUAUCUGGAGGAAUACCGGUGGCGAAGGCGGCAUCCUGGACCAUAACUGACGCUGAGGCGCGAAAGCUAGGGGAGCAAACGGG
rnacentral:rRNA from 1 species